GGCCUAAGUAUAACUAUCAUACCAGUCCUAAUCGGAGGAUGAGGGGGACUCAACCAAACACGACUACAAAAAAUCCUAGCAUACUCCUCAAUCUCCCAUAUAGAUUGAAUAACAGCUAUCAUACUAUACAUCCCUACAAUAACAAUUCUAAACCUAGCUAUUUACAUCAUUAUAACACCCACCAGCUUCAUACUAUUCAUACACAGCUCCACCACAACAACACUAUCCCUAUGACAAACAGGAAAUAAAACACCCCUGAUCACCUCACUCAUUCUGAUACUAAUAUUAUCUUUAGAAGGUCUCCCUCCACUCUCAGGAUUGAUCCCCAAAUGAAUAAUUAUCCAAGAAUUAACAAAAAAUGGGGUAAUUAUUAUACCCACACUACUAGCUAUCACAGCAUUACUCAACCUAUACUUCUAUAUACAACUAACAUACACCACAGCACUAACCAUAUUCCCCUCAACAAACAAUA